rnacentral:rRNA from 1 species
GCGAGCGUUAAUCGGAAUUACUGGGCGUAAAGCGCAUGCAGGCGGCCUGUUAAGUCAGAUGUGAAAGCCCGGGGCUUAACCUCGGAAUUGCAUUUGAAACUGGCAGGCUAGAGUCUUGUAGAGGGGGGUAGGAAUUUCAGGUGUAGCGGUGAAAUGCGUAGAGAUCUGAAGGAAUACCAGUGGCGAAGGCGGCCCCCUCGGACAAAGACUGACGCUCAGAUGCGAAAGCGUGGGGAGCAAACAGGAUUAGAUACCCUGGUAG